ensembl:lncRNA
GUUCACAUGGCUAAACUUUAUUUGCCCAAAUAGGUGAUCUAAUGAAGGAUACAGACCAAAAUUUGGGGGAUUGCAGUUUGUAUAGGAGGUUUAUUAUUUAAAAAAACCUCGUUUUACCAUUUUUCCCAUUUCAAAUGAUUUGGGAUUAUGUAUUCACAUGUUUCUCCACCUCUCCCUUUCCCCCAGGACUCUUGGCUUUCAGAAGCCCCUCUGGAACAUCCCAUCCGGUAAAACCCCAUCCCACCAGUGCAGAAAACAUGGUGCCCCUACUAUAGUGGAUCCAGCCUUGGAGAGGCCUCACCCUGCCUCAACACCUCUUCCCCCAGACCCUGAUGGCCAGGACAGUGUCUUUUUGCCUUCAGACUAGGCAGAGCGAGGUCCCCUGAGAGAGAUAAAUAUUGUUAUUUCCCCACCCAAAGUUAUUUGCAUUAGGUGAAAAAUGGCCGCACAUUCUUUGUGGUUCCUCUCAUCAAGACAUAUGGUCUCUUUCUCAUCCCUUGAAUCGGGGCAAAGCCUUGUGAUUUGCUCUGAUCAAAAGAACUUAGUAGAAUCGACGUUGUCCCAGCCCCAGUUCCAGGCCCAGAACCCAGGAAAUCUUGCAGCUUCUCCUGUCACUCUCCUGGAGCCCUAAGGCUGAAGCAGCCUGCUAGACAGGCCACAUGGAAGAGAACCAGGUCACCCCAACCAACAACCUGUCACCCGCCAGACAAGUGAGUCAGGCUGUCCUAGACCAUCCAGGCGCAGCUGAUGUGACAACUGACCACAGCUCCAUGAGGGUCCCCAGGUGAGAGCCCAGUGCAGAUUGCCGACCCACGGAAUUGUGGACAGAUACAUGACCUGUUUUUAGCUGCCAAAUUUUGGGAUGGUUUGCUACGCAGCAAAGGCUAACUGAUACACAGUUCCUCAUUUCUCCUUUGGUAAUGAGAUCCACUUUCAUUUCAGGAGGCAGUGUGCCAGUCUCAGUAGAUGGAACACAAUUGGUCUAUUCAACCACGAUAAUUCUAUUCCCUACUGUUUGGGAAGUGUCUAGAGUCAGACCCUCCCCACCAAGUGCGAAGAGAAUGCACCUCAGCUAUCCCUUCUGCCAGCCCAGCCUACUGGGGGCCAGAUGCAUCUUCUGGGCUCUGAGAAGUGUCAGGCGGUGCCACGGGGUCUGCUCCUCCAAGUCUGGUGUGGAUGCCGCCAGGUACACCCUGAGGUCCGAGAGGGUAGACUGCACAAGCUUGUCCAGGAUGGCCCUUGCUGCAGCUACUGUAGGCUGUGAGCCAGUAACAGCCCCCAAAGGAGUGGAGUUUUAAAAAGAGGGAAGCACAGCCACAGAAGAUUCUCCAAGGCAGAAAAUGCAAACCACGGCAGCAGAGAGCCCAUAGGGCUCAGCAAGCACGGGACACUGGCUCCAAGAACCGCCAGUUCCUUCUGAAAGUGACCUUCCUUCAGGUCCUGUUUCAGAACAGCAUUUACGUCACACUAAAUAACAGAGAGGGGUUCUCUAGCAGAAAAUGAUAUUUAUUCAAAGAGGACAGCCAGAAGAGGAAGAGAGCAGGGAGGCAACCAGGAUGGCCAGCUGCAGAGAGAAGUACCUUCUCCUCUGUCCUCCGCUGAGAGCUGCAGAGACGACCUGCCAGCAGAGAGGAGCUGCCCUCUACCCUGUAUGUGGAGAGCCUGAGACCUGCAGAGACAUCCAAACGACUUCCUGUGGAGAGGAGCCGCCCUCUCCAGCCUCCUCUCUGCUGAGAGCUGAACACUCACCGGGAGGAUGCUGUUCUAACAUUAAAUAAACUCUUUUUUUUUUUUGAGACGAAAUCUCACUCUGUCACCCAGGCUAGAGUGCAGUGGUGCGAUCUGGGCUCACUGCAAGCUCCGCCUCCCGGGUUCACACCAUUCUCCUGCCUCAGCCUCCCGAGUAGCUGGGACUACAGGCGCCCACCACCACGCCUGGCUAAUUUUUUGUAUUUUUAGUAGAGACCGGGUUUCACCGUGUUAGCCAGGA